GUCCGGAUAGUAUAAUGGCAGUACGUGUGGGUCAUAACCACGAAUUGAAGGUUCAACCCCUCCUCCGGAUA